rnacentral:rRNA from 1 species
AUUGAACGCUGGCGGCAGGCCUAACACAUGCAAGUCGAACGAGCGGCGGACGGGUGAGUAAUGUAUGGGAAACUGCCCGAUGGAGGGGGAUAACUACUGGAAACGGUAGCUAAUACCGCAUACUAUCAGAUGAACCCAUAUGGGAUUAGCUUGUUGGUGGGGUAAAGGCUCACCUAGGCGACGAUCCCUAGCUGGUCUGAGAGGAUGAUCAGCCACACUUGGACUGAGACACGGCCCAGACUCCUACGGGAGGCAGCAGUGGGGAAUAUUGCACAAUGGGCGCAAGCCUGAUGCAGCCAUGCCGCGUGUAUGAAGAAGGCCUUAGGGUUGUAAAGUACUUUCAGCGGGGAGGCGUUACCCGCAGAAGAAGCACCGGCUAACUCCGUGCCAGCAGCCGCGGUAAUUC